AUUCAGGUCUCCCUCUCAGUCUCCUCUUCCACAGAAUUAGGGACCUUGUCUUGAGAAUCUCCAGGAUCCCUUCCAACUAUCCAGUCUAGCCUUCUGACAAAUUCUACAUAUUAAGAUAGUGGGAUCCCCAGAGCUAAGUUUCUUUCUUCAUUUGCCUUCCAGUAAGUGCUUGGAGUUACAAGCAGACUCCGUACCCACUAUGGGCAAUCGGUUGCUCAGUUGGGUGACCCUUUGUCUCCUAGGAGCAGGCACCAUGGAUGGUGGAAUCACUCAGAGACCAAAAUACCUGAUCAGAGAGGAAGAAAUGUGACCCUGGAAUGUGAACAGAAUUUUAAUUACGAUGUCAUGUACUGGUACCGACAGGACCCAGGACAAGGGCUGAGACUGUUCUACUACUCACAGAUUAUAGAUGAUGUUCAGAAUGGAGACAUACCUGAAGGCUACAGGGCCUCCCGGGAGAAGAAGCCAUUCUUUCCUUUCACUGUAACAUCAGCUCAAAAGAACCAGACAGCCCUGUAUCUCUGUGCCAGUAGCAUCCAAGAUGGCUUCUUUGUGCACAUACCUGAUCCCUCACCUAGGGCGGGUGGAACAGCUGUGGACCAGCAUGAUGCCCUGAAGCCGGAAGAUUCUGCCAUGUACUUCUGUGCCAGCAGCAAAGACACAGCCCUGCAGAGUCAACUUUUCCAUGUUCACAAACUCCCAGGGUCCAGCCAGGAAGCUGUGGGGGAAACCAAAGCUCAGUUCAACAUUUCCUAG